rnacentral:rRNA from 1 species
CUUAGUGGGAGGGGAUAACUACGGGAAACUGUAGCUAAUACCGCGUAACAUCUUAGGAUUAAAGUGUGGGCUCUUCGGACCACACGCCAUAAGUUGAGCCCAAGUGGGAUUAGGUAGUUGGUGGGGUAAAGGCCUACCAAGCUGACGAUCUCUAGCUGGUCUGAGAGGAUGACCAGCCACACUGGAACUGAGACACGGUCCAG